GGGCGUGGCGGGUGCUAUACAUGCAGUCGAACGCUUUUUCUUUCACCGGAGCUUGCUCCACCGAAAGAAAAAGAGUGGCGAACGGGUGAGUAACACGUGGGUAACCUGCCCAUCAGAAGGGGAUAACACUUGGAAACAGGUGCUAAUACCGUAUAACACUAUUUUCCGCAUGGAAGAAAGUUGAAAGGCGCUUUUGCGUCACUGAUGGAUGGACCCGCGGUGCAUUAGCUAGUUGGUGAGGUAACGGCUCACCAAGGCAACGAUGCAUAGCCGACCUGAGAGGGUGAUCGGCCACACUGGGACUGAGACACGGCCCAGACUCCUACGGGAGGCAGCAGUAGGGAAUCUUCGGCAAUGGACGAAAGUCUGACCGAGCAACGCCGCGUGAGUGAAGAAGGUUUUCGGAUCGUAAAACUCUGUUGUUAGAGAAGAACAAGGAUGAGAGUAAAAUGUUCAUCCCUUGACGGUAUCUAACCAGAAAGCCACGGCUAACUACGUGCCAGCAGCCGCGGUAAUACGUAGGUGGCAAGCGUUGUCCGGAUUUAUUGGGCGUAAAGCGAGCGCAGGCGGUUUCUUAAGUCUGAUGUGAAAGCCCCCGGCUCAACCGGGGAGGGUCAUUGGAAACUGGGAGACUUGAGUGCAGAAGAGGAGAGUGGAAUUCCAUGUGUAGCGGUGAAAUGCGUAGAUAUAUGGAGGAACACCAGUGGCGAAGGCGGCUCUCUGGUCUGUAACUGACGCUGAGGCUCGAAAGCGUGGGGAGCGAACAGGAUUAGAUACCCUGGUAGUCCACGCCGUAAACGAUGAGUGCUAAGUGUUGGAGGGUUUCCGCCCUUCAGUGCUGCAGCAAACGCAUUAAGCACUCCGCCUGGGGAGUACGACCGCAAGGUUGAAACUCAAAGGAAUUGACGGGGGCCCGCACAAGCGGUGGAGCAUGUGGUUUAAUUCGAAGCAACGCGAAGAACCUUACCAGGUCUUGACAUCCUUUGACCACUCUAGAGAUAGAGCUUCCCCUUCGGGGGCAAAGUGACAGGUGGUGCAUGGUUGUCGUCACCUCCUGUCCUGAAAAUGUUGGGUUAAGUCCCGCAACGACCGCAACCCUUAUUGUUAGUUGCCAUCAUUUAUUUGGG
rnacentral:rRNA from 1 species